rnacentral:rRNA from 1 species
UUACACAAAUAUGAAGGCGGGCUGGAACCUCUCGGGGUUACAGCCUUGCUGAAUUAUUCACCCUUGUCUUUUGCGUACUUCUUGUUUCCUUGGUGGGUUCGCCCACCACUAGGACAAACAUAAACCUUUUGUAAUUGCAAUCAGCGUCAGUAACAAAUUAAUAAUUACAACUUUCAACAACGGAUCUCUUGGUUCUGGCAUCGAUGAAGAACGCAGCGAAAUGCGAUAAGUAGUGUGAAUUGCAGAAUUCAGUGAAUCAUCGAAUCUUUGAACGCACAUUGCGCCCUUUGGUAUUCCAAAGGGCAUGCCUGUUCGAGCGUCAUUUGUACCCUCAAGCUUUGCUUGGUGUUGGGCGUCUUGUCUCUAGCUUUGCUGGAGACUCGCCUUAAAGUAAUUGGCAGCCGGCCUACUGGUUUCGGAGCGCAGCACAAGUCGCACUCUCUAUCAGCAAAGGUCUAGCAUCCAUUAAGCCUUUUUUUCAACUUUUGACCUCGGAUCAGGUAGGGAUACCCGCUGAACUUAAGCAUAUCAAUAG